UGUUGUUGUUGAUGGAUGAUCACGGACACCGCGGCGUCAUUACAAGGGACACGGCCACGUGCCUCGCUAGAGAGAUAUUGAACGCGGGUCUGCGAGCACCAGCGCCAGUACGGAGUAGGUAUCAAGUCCUUGUGUUCCCGCGUGUGAUGGAUGGUAUCGUCGAUUACGGCCGGCGCUGACCUGUUCUUUCAUAUCUCGCUAAUGACCGACACCUGCAACCCUUGCUGGAUGGGUCCCGUUUUUGCUAACUUUUCCUUCAUAUUAUGUCUUAUCUCGAUGUCCUUCCAGUAAUGUUUGCUUCGUCAGCACCUGUCGGUGUUUGCUGUCGACUGUCAGAUGUACAAGGGUCAUUACUUAGGCUAUUACAGGACGUCAGUAAUUAAUACAAGCGUUGCCUUUUCGCCCCUGACCUGCGGUCGGGUUAGGUGUGAAAGGGAA